CUGCCCUCAAGCCCGGCUUGUGUGUUGGGCGCCGUCCCCCCGGGGACGCGCCCGAAAGGCAGCGGCGGCGCCGCGUCCGGUCCUCGAGCGUAUGGGGCUUUGUCACCCGCUCCGCAGGCCCGGCCGGCGCCCGCCGACCCCCAUCAUCCUUUCUUCA
rnacentral:misc_RNA from 1 species